rnacentral:rRNA from 1 species
ACGCUCGACACCUACGGGAGGUAGCAGUGGGGAAUAUUGCACAAUGGGGGAAACCCUGAUGCAGCGACGCCGCGUGAGCGAAGAAGUAUUUCGGUAUGUAAAGCUCUAUCAGCAGGGAAGAAACUGACGGUACCUGACUAAGAAGCACCGGCUAAAUACGUGCCAGCAGUCGCGGUAAUCUGAGCGGGCUGGCAAGGC